AGGACACACGCAGUGCUCACUCAUCCUUUGACAGAGAAGCUGCGAAAACUUUUCCUGAAAUGAUCCUCCUCUGCCUUCUGGCUGCAGAAUAUGACUGAUGCCUUUUCUUCCCCAGUGCAAUAGUACAUCUGUGGAGUAGAGAGACUAGGUAACCAGCUGUCAUGUCAGGUUUCCUAAACAUACUUGCAUGUCAUUUCUCACUUGUUCAUCUGUAUUAAAGCAGAGAGCCUCUGCUGCUAGCUCCGUUGCA